CUACCGCGCGCGGUCCAUGGCCGCUGUCAACGGGCCGUCGAACUGUCGGCCGAGAUCACGGCCUCGCCGUGACAACGUCUCGAUGAGGCUGCGCGCAUGCCGAGGCUGCAGGUGCGCGCGUGGAAUUCACGAUCGCCGCCACGUCGCACGAGCCAACCUGUUGCCGCGCGCGUCAUAAUCUCGAGGAAAGCUCGCACGGCCUACCGCAACCUGUUUCAACUGCGCUGUAAUUUUGACGACUCCCCGUCGGCGUCGUCAUGACUACGCACGUGUUGCGCAAAUUCCAGCCUUCGGCAAUGUCCACCGCUUUCUUUUCGUAGACGCGCCAUGCGAAACCACGUCUCGCCUGUACCGUUUAAUCUGCAACCUUAUCGCGCGUUCACUAAAUCGGCAUAAACCGUGAAGCGAUUGACUAUCGGUUCGCCAUUGAAAGCGUAGCUCUUCGAAAACGGAGCGAGCCACGAGGUGUCCGCGUGGAGUGCGAGUUUCGCAAUUGGUGGCCUUGCGCUUUGCCGCGCGGUUGGGAUGGUCUAAGCGCCAUCGAGGCGCUCUAAUGGCGGCGCGGUUGCGUGCACGUGCGGGAGCCGAUGACGCAAGAGCUACGUCCUUAUAUUUGGCCCGUUUCGCUUGCACCUCUCCCGGUGAACGACUGCGCGCGUUCCCGUCGGGAGAGGAGUUAAUAGUCUGUCGUUUCAGACUGAACCAACCAGUUGUCAGCGUUUACAAGGUGCGAUUCGCAAAAUGUGCCACCUCUGUUUGGGGUGCUCGCUUUACGUUUCAGAACGUGCUGCAUUGCAAGUCUGGACUGCGGGAAAUCGUCCCCGCGAACGACGCUUUCUUGGCCUUGACUGCGCAAGGCGUGUGGACCGUACCACUGGGCGAUGUGAGUGCCAGGAGUUUCCUGCUUGGACCAAGCUCUGCUUGUGGGCUUCCAUGGGGUGGCCUCGUGGCUGCAUACAACGUGUGUCCAGGAUCUUGGGAGUUGCUUCUUAAUGGCAAGGGACCACCCAUAUGCCGCAUUUCGUGCAGCAUACAGCAUCUUUUGCAUUCACCAGAUGCAAGUCCGGUGCUGUGGUGUGCAAGACUUUUGGCAAGUGAACAUCAUGCAAGGGAUGACUGUUUGACUCUCGGAAGCUCUCUCUUCUUGACAAAGCACCUCUCACGACUUCUCGGUUUGAAUCUGAGUGACCUCCCCAGUCAGUCAGCCGACCCAGAGGAGCGAGGGCCCUGCGUACUGCUACUGGGUUUACCAGAUGGCCGUGUUCUAACCAUGCUGUUACGUUCUGACCGCUCUCCUGAAUCUUGUAGGGCCCGUCUGGUUUGUGAUUUGGGUCAGCCAGUGGCUGCCAUCACUUGCUGGCAGCCUGAACAUCUCGAGAACAACGGACAUGGAGAUGCUCAUCAUUGGUGCUAGGGGCAAAGUGCUGAGCAGCUGCAGUGGAACGUGGCUGGAGGCCUGGGCACCUAAUAUUCUUGAGGAAGCACAUGACUUCUGCCUGAAUGGAGCUCUCAUGCAUUGGCUACACAAUGGAACUCCCUGGGAGGCCCGCAUGGCCAUCAGGCAGCAGUCAUCACAGGAGCCUGCGUUUCUCCAGGUUCAAGCAGGGCCAUUGCCUCUGGGAAAGGCUGUGUCUGUUCAGAGCCUUGUGUCCUCAGUCUUAACCAAGCUUCACCCUGAAGCAAGUACCAGUGAGAGUGAGCUGAACCAGGAUGUCUCUGGGCUCCUGAUCCUGGAUGGCAGUGGAGGCGUGCGCCUGGUGUCACCCUUGCCUCGACAACGCCUUUCGCUGCAGGGUCUGCAUCCACACCCUAUCGUGCAGGCCAAGAAUGAGCUCUUGUUCGUCCAGGCUGCUAUGCAGCAGCUGAGACAGCUCCAACAUCACUCGAUAACAGUCAACGCUCAGCGUGAAGAUGGGCACUUGGUAGCCACUUUCCCGGAUUCUGAGGCCUCAAACUGGGUUCAUGUUGCCAGCUUUGACAUUGGCGACCGCACCAUUUGUCGGUCUGCUUCUGCUUCUCCAGCAACAGGGGGAAAGCCAUUGAAGAUACGCAUCAGAUGUGAUACAGCUGCAGUGGCCACUAUGUCUUUGGUGUUACCAUCUAGGGAAGCCACAGGAAAACCAGUGCUAACUUUGCUCAAGACAACAGUGCUUCCGUCACAAAUCUCUAUCAAGGAAGGGCCUGCACAGAAAACAGCUGUGCUCACUGUGGCAAGCCACUUAGUUUCCAGUGGUUCAUGUAAGCAUAGGUGGUGUCAACAGGUUUACCGAGCGCCUUGGACUUCAAGCAUGGCCCGCACAUUUAGAAUCUCUGGGUCAAGGUGUCUCAUCCUUGGAGCUCGAGCUGCCUGCGGGCUGCUGUUGGCCGGCACUCAGAGCGGAGACAUUGCUACGCAUGCUCGACAUGGCGAAAGACUACGAUGACACGAAAGCCAUGCCGGACGUGAAAGUCGGGGAGAGAGUUGAGGCGGCGUGUCGAGAAGUUGAGCGGCUGCUAUCCACGGGAGACAUCCUGGGAGCUUACAACGCCUGGAGGACGCGUUUGGGAAUGGCAUUUCCCGUUGCUUAGAUGCUGUCUUUGCCAAGGAAGCUGCAGACGUUCCAUCAGUGUCUUGCGUACUGGAAUAUGCUCGCACAGGGCAGCGGGAUCGGUGAGCACUGCUACCGGUACCUGCAAAAGCGUAAUCGGGUCAUUGAUGAGCUUUGUGUGCAUGCCAAAACAGAACGCACACAACUGUUGCGGGCAAUAGUGCGUGCUUCAGCAAUCAUGCCUAUGGAGCAACGGACUGUUCGUCCAGAUGUUCAGAGUUGUAUUGCUUUCUUUUUAACAGCUUCAGAUGAUGUGCAGCUGUACAAAACCAACUCCAAUAAACAAUUCUGUGCUUUACUAGCAA
rnacentral:misc_RNA from 1 species